rnacentral:tRNA from 2 species
GGAGCGGUUGUACCGUCGAUGGUUAUGUUGACGUGUUACGCCGAGGGUCGCGGGUUCGAGCCCGGUCCGCUCCGCCA